CCUCGCUGCUCUCCUUCUCCACAUUCCCUGCUGUAAGCUCACCGCUUCCCCUACACCUCCUUCACAGGCAGAAAAAGAAAGCAACCACACCAGCAGAAGAGCGCUGCAAUUGCUUUGUGCCCCACAGAAAGAGCAGCAGUUAGAAGAAAGAGAGAAUCCCCCCUCCCCUCCCCUCCCCUCUCCCCAAAAGGCCAACGUCGCAAGAGCAGCGCGCGAGUUCCGACCGCCACCAGUAGACGGAAGACGAAGGCGUCCGCGGAAGUGGCAACGAGAGAGGAAAGAAAAAAAAAAACAAGUGCCGUUCUCUUCUCUCGAAACGCACCUUCAUUUUUUGUUUGGCUCUCCCGGACCUUUCCCCACACUUUCCUCCUCUCACUAUUCUGUCUCGUGAUUCAAGCAGUCGCUGAAGGCGUGCUUGUCUAUCGUUUUUCCUCUCUGUAUUCGUGUGCUUUUUUGUUGUUCUCAGCGACCGUGUCGCUGCUGUCUCGCUUUCUUGUUCUCACGUCGUCUCGACUCCUUUUUGUUUCUUUUCUUUUUCUGCCUGUGUGUGUGUCGUAUCUUGUGUCGCUUACUUCUGACCUGCGCGGCGCCACACUCCGCUUCGGCCGUGUUUUUGUUGUGUGGGAUUACUUGCCUCCACCGCUUCCCCCACGUCCAUCCACCUCCGAUUCUCGUCAGCCUUUCGAUCCGCCUCACCUCCCUCCACGCAUUGUGACUAUCCCCUCUCUCUCGAACUCCUACCACCGCUACUACUACCACCACACACGCCACACCCCCUCGAUCGCACACGUUUCCGGCCCCGCAAGACCCCCCCCUCUCUCACACACUCACACAACCCUCUACUAUUUAGGCUCCUUGUCCUCUCUACUUCCUCAUUAUCCGGCACUUGGCCUCUGAGGCUCGACUCAGCCCCCAUCCCCUUCCCCCUCUGUGUGUGUGUGUGUGCUCUCCCGCUUUCCCACCUCUCCUCUCUCUCCCUCCCCCUCCUUGUUCUCGCCUCCGCCCUUGCUGGAUUCCUUGACCCAGAACAAGGUACGCCGGUACGUGCAGCCCCACCCAACCAGACACACACACACACGGGGACUUACGAGGGCGUACCGAAACGAAGGACAGAAAGGGGAAAAAGGGCAAAGGAGAAAGCAUUCACAAAACACACACAGACUCCGCGAAGAAAAGGAAGCAAGUAAGGAGGCUGAGCAGCCUUAAAGGAAACAGAAACAAAACGAAGGGCCUAACUAGGCACGCACGCAAGCAACGCACGCAACACAUUGGCUCUUCCCUCUUUCUCAUACUUCUUUGCACGCACGCUUCGCCCCCCCCCUUCUCACCAUACCGUGUCUGUCUCGCUCUCUCCCGCACGCUCGUCAUCUCAGCUAACGCCGUGGGUUUACUUGUCUUUGUGUGGCAUUGAUCUCAUUUGUUUCCAUUGCUGUGAGCAGUUUUUUUUUUGUGGCUGUUUUCUUUUUCGGACGAAAGGCAUCAAGUGUUAGUCAGACACACACAUACACACGGCAGCGUUUCUCGCUGCAGCCGAAGGCAAGCCACACGGGCAACAGGAGUUCAGCAAUAAAACAUAUACAGAAAACCUUCACAGGCAAGAGCAGGACUCUGCUGCGCGAACGAAACGCAGCAAGAAAGGGAUAUAUAGAGAGAGAAAACUGUUUUUUUUCCUCCUGGGCUUUGGCUACUCUCUUCUUUUUCUUUGUUCUUGUGAGACCUGCAGGGUCUCUGUCUCUCUCUUGCUCCACCACCCCACCUCUCCCCUCCUUCCCCCUUCUGCAUGCGGUAUUUGCGUGGGCGUUUCACGCCUGAAUUGUAUAGCGUCGCCAUCGUUCUUCCCGUGUCUAUCUCCUUUUCUCUUUUUCCCCCUUUGAUUUUGCUCGUCGCCACUAGAGUGGGGCUGCGUUUAUCGGCCUUUUCCUUGUGAUAGUGCUGCUUCGUCUGCUCUGGUUCAUUUCUGUUUGUGCGCGGCGUUUGUGUAUCUGCGUGGGUUUGAGUAUUCAUCUACGUGGUGUCUGGCUUGGGUUUUGCGAGUCGCCAUCUCUCCCUCUUUUCCUGCCGCUGCACGGUUUUUCAUUUUCACCAGCACGCAGUGAACGCACUACCCGAGACCUGCCAACAUACCCUGCUCUCUUCCCUUUCCCUCCCUCUCCUUGUGCACGGCGUUUCGACGUCUGCCGCUCCUUGCUCCCUCUCUGAAGGUCUGCUUUCUGCUCACGCUAAAUUAGAAGCGAGACUCAGCCAGCCUUCUGAGAGGCGUGCAAACUCUCCAACUGUCGGAGGCCUUUCUCCACACCUUCAAUGGUUCACAUUGGCUGCGUCGGUUUCAUCUUCGCGUGCUUGUUUGUGUGUCUUCCUUCACUUGCCUUUCUGCUCUGUAACUCUGGCGUCUUUGCUGAGAUCCUCCCGCCGCUGCUGUGUCGUGCCACGUGCUAUUCUGCCAUUUCGAAUCUCUCAUCUGACGUCUCGGCCCACUCUCCUUUUCUCUUCCUCCUCUGAAACCUUUUCGGGAAGACGUACGAGGGUUCGUGUGUUUGUUUAUUGCCCCACCUGUCUUGCACCUUGGUCGUUUUCUAUUAUUAUCAUUUUGUCGUCUCGCCUCUUCUCUCUUCACCACCCGACCUCCGUCUCGUUUUCUUGGUCCGCCUUGACAAGGCUGAGUCCUCCUUCUCCCUCCCUCUUCCCACCCACGCCAUCAAGGAAGCAGAGGAAGGAAAAUUAUCACCAUCGCGUUCGCUCUCCCGUAUCUCUUUCUCUUGCUGUUUUGAAUCGCAUCCCUUUUUUCCCCCGCUUUUUUUUGUGAUUUCGUGGUUUUGUUUCCUUCAGAUUCUUUUUUCCCUCCUUUUCUCCCCCUUGUUUGUUUUUGUAGGUUGUGUGCUCUUUCUUGGCUUUCACUUUCUGUUUUGUCUUCGUUGUGGUGGUGGUUUUCGCGUGUGUGUGUGUGUGUGUGUGUGUGUGUCGGUUGUUUUUUCUCCCGCUCAGACAUACUCAAGCACCAACACGUGUGUCUGUUUCACCUUUCCUUUAGGUUUGGCAUUUGAAACCCACGCAACAACAACGGAAAAAAAAAGAGUCAAGGGGCGGCUGAGGAGGGCGUCCACACAAUCGUCGUAAUCAACCGCAUUCACCAGCGGAAGGACUCGCUGUGGCAAAGGCACAAGCACUGCAAAGGAGCGAAAUAUAAACAAAAAAAGGGCGCCUUCGCAUCGGGCCGCAGCUGCGCCAGUUCGGUCGUUUGUUGUUGUUGUUGUUCUUUCUUCCUCUUCUUCCGCAAAGUGCAGCGUGUUCACGCCUACUGCUCUCUUUCCUAAGGUGGAGGCCUCUUUCCUUUUCGCAUCGCGUUGUGCGAUCAACAACUCGUUUUUUUUUUCCGGCUUUGCGAGCGAUUGUGCGGAGCGCCAAAGAGACGAAGGCCCCGAGGCACGCCGAAAAAAAAAAAACAAAGGGGGGCGACGCAGAUCGUAGCGGUACUCAAAAGAACCAAACAACAGAAGACGCGCGUGCUUGAGUAACGGUGCAUCUUUACCGGAAGCCAGCAGGCCACCACAUCGACUAGCGGUCGUUAUUCGGGUAAACGUGCUUUUUUGUCUUGCUCGUUCGGUUUACGCCCACGUUUCUUCCCCAUUCUUUCUUUGUGCGCCUGGUGCCGUCGGUGUUUCUCGUCUCUCUGCGUGUGCGUAUCGCCUGUUAUAUAUAUAUAUAUAUACAUUUUUCACUUGCCCCUUUCCUUUCUAUAUCUUCUGCCUUUCGCUCUUCGUCUGUUUGCUCGAUUCUUUUUCCCCUGUCUGACUUUUUCACGUCGUUUUGUGUUGUGUGUGCGUGCGUUCGUCCUCUUUCUUCUACUCCCUCUCUCCUUCCCACAACCUUCUUUUUUCUCUCACUUUUUUCUUCGUGUUUGUGUCUCUGCUCCCUCUUCUCCCAUUGCGUGUGCGUGUGCGACCCUUUUCUUUUUCAGUUUUCUUUUUGUUUUUUAUAUAUAUUUCCCUCGUUGGCGUUCACUGGUUUCUUUCUUGUUUCGAUCUUUUUUUUUGACCUCUCUGUCUCUGUCCAAUCGCGUUCUGCAAAGAAACAAAGAAAAAAAGGCCUGCAUACACCUACAUACAUACAUACAUAUAUAUUAUCGCGCACCGAAGACCCUGAAGACACAACUGUUUCACCGGUCUCGUCGCCCUCUUCUCCAUUACAAACGCAUGCACACGUGCCAGCUUACCUCCUUAUCUGUUUGCUGCUUGCCACUGUUUCUCGUUUUACACUGAGCUAUCCCCCUCCCCUCAUCAGAGACGACUGCACUCGCACAUCUCUUUGUCCUCCUGGGUGCGUGUCUGUCCGCAGUCAUCCGCCAUUUCCUCUCUUGUCUUUGUCAUCUCACAUUUCUCAGUCAUCACAUCAGCACCCAUCUCCCCCUCCUCACAAACACACGCACACACACACGUCCACCAACUCUGCUGCUCGUCUUCACCCCUGCGCGUGUUGGUGUGUAACAAGGCUGUUAUCGCCUUCGCGGAGUGAGACGGCGGAGCUUCAGUGGGAGGGCGGAGAAGGACACGAAACGUGCACACACACGCGCGCGAAAAAAAAGAACGGCGCACCCCAGCAAAGGAGCAAACAUUGUCUUUUGUUGUGUUCCGUUUAUUAUUACUACUCUUCUUCGGCCUCUCCUUCGCCCCGCCCCAUCCCUUUUUUGUUGUUUUGUUUAUGUUUGUUGUCGGUUUUGUGUUUUUUGUUCUUCAUUUGUUUUGUUUCGUCGCUGGAGAGAAGGGAGAAGCAACCGCACCACCGAAAAAAAGGAAAACGGGAGAAAAAAGCAUCCUUGUCUUCCAACGUAUCUUUUUCUUUCUCUCUCCAACGUAGCCGCCGCCUCUUUUUCUUUCUUUUUCGAGAGCGCGUAACACCCAAGGGAGGGGGCAUGAAAAGUGCGGAUAUACAAGAACAGCAAGAAAGAAAAGGGUCCUUUGUGGUUCAAGGGAUGAGAUAGAAGAUAACCCGUGCGUGAAGGCGAACAUUUACAUAUCCGCGAAGUCGACGAAGAGGUGCGGAAUCGGCACAUCGUCUUUAAGAGUGUAGGAGUGGUGUCUUUGGCUGCGUUUUUGUUGUUGUUGUUGAUUUUCGCUUUUCUUCGACUCUUCUUUUUUUCUCUCUUUGCUAUUGGCGCUUGUGUGUUGAUGAGUGCUCCCCUUCACUGCACUCCCCCCCCCUUUCCGACCACUUUAUGAUCUCGUCGAAGCUGCGCUUAUACACGGAAAUACACGCACUCAAAAGUGACAGGGAGCCCUGUGGGAGACGUUUAUUUGUGUGUCUCCUUCGUACAACGUGACGCUCUUGAUGCGUGAGCGCAACGGCGACCCACUUUUUCACCUCUUGCCUUUUCUGUUGUCUUUUUCCUCCUUUCGCAUUCUCCUUCAUUUCCACGUGGACUCCUCCUCUGGAGCUUUCUCAGUGCCUCGACAUUCUCUCCACCCUCUCUCGACCUUGACCGCACCCUUCGCCCACUUUCGGUUGUGUUUCGUACACCAGAUAUCACAUUUCGCUUGCGUCUCUUUUUCCCCGAUUGCUCUUUGGCUUUUUUAGCGGCUACCUCGGUGCCCCUUCACCGUCGCCCCUGCACACUGACGCUCAUAUCUCCCUUCUCUUCUAUCACGCACUCCCACGCACCACAGGUUGGCCUCUCUGUUUCAGCUCUCGGCAAAAGCCUGCUUUGUACAGCACAGCCACUCCUCUUCUCUACUCCAGACAGCUGUGUUCCCUUCCAACGACUUUGCCAUUAUCUGUUUCCAUCUCUACAUCCAAGACACACUUCUCUUCCUUCACUGCCAACCGCAGCACACGGCACGAAACCCAAGUGAGCUUCUAGCGGCACCCGCUCGGUGUCUUUUCUUUUUUUUUCUCUCUCUCUCUCGUGUUUCCCACAUUGCGUUGCUCUGACACACUUUCGUUUCUUCAUUUUUUUCUUUGCUCUGCCUUGGGUGCCUUUUUGUUCACGCGCGCUGCUCCGCAGUGCUCGUUUCUCGCCACAGCUAAAGAGGGACAACCUCGUUCCAAAGACGGUCUUUGCCCUUCUUUGGUCACUUCUUCCUCGUUUCUUUCGUUUUUCUUUAUCUCCGUUUGUGUGUGUGUGUGUGUAUCGCCUGUUGUUUUUUUUUUUGGUGCUUGUUGAGGUUUGCUGCUUUUCCCUGUUCACUUUUGGAUGGAUUUGAUGUUGUUUGGGAAGGGAAGUCCUUCUUUGCUCCUCUCCUCUGUUUGUGAUCGCCGCCCCGCGCGCACGAUCACCCUCCCCCUCCUUUGAGUCUUCUCGCGUGCUCUCUUCCUCCUACACCCUCGGUUCUUGACCUUUGGCGCAGCGCGUUCUCGGACCUCCCCUCUCUGGCGCCGUUUCUCCAUCGCUAUAUCGAUUAGUGUUUUUUUUUCAGUGCACAUCGUACGGCUAUCUGUUCGCUUUCGGUUUGCUUUUAGUUCUAUCUUGGUUUCCUGUAUUCGCCGAAGUGCGUGAAAGGUCGAGUCCUUCUCUUCUUCGUUGUCCCCUCCCCACCUCCUCUUCCCUUCCCUUGUCUCGCCCUCGCUCUCGAUCUUUUCGUUUGCCCUGGCUAGCGUUGUCGGUGCUUGGUGCUCACUUCUCCUCUCCUUGUCUUUUUUUUUGUGUGUGCACUCGGCCUCUUCGUCGCAGCAUUUAUUCUUUGCUUUCGCUUUUUUUGGGGGACGGGGGGCCACUCAAGCUCAAAAAAAAAAAAACAACCGCAACGAAAAUCCUCGCGUUGUCCCUCCCUCGCCUUCUCUGUCCCCCUCAUCCCUCCCUCCUUCCCUCCCUCCCCCCACCUCGCUAAGCAUUUCAAAAGGGUACACCCCGGACGCCAAGAAAAGGAAACAAGGCAGCGCUAGGCCUUCCUUUCAUCCCUUUUUUCUAUCAUUACUAUUUCGUUUCACCUUAGCAGAUUACUUUUCACAUACACUGUGCGCGUUCGGCCGUCCCGCUGUCGCUGGCUUUCUUCAGCUGUUCGCGGUCAUCAGGUGGCGUUUCCGCCCGACUCCUUUUUUUGCUGGUUGUUUUGUGGGCUCUGCUGGGGUUAGUGCGCUGACGCCAUCUCUCUCUCUCUCUGUUUUCCUUCGUAUCGUGGCACCACACACGCACGCACGCACACUCUCGUUCUCUUGUAUUCCUUUGUUGUUGUUUGUUUGCUCUUUGGGAGGGUGAGCGUUUCUGACGAAUUCGCAGUGGCCUGGCGUUCUCUCUGCAGGAGGAGUAGCGAGCAGGCGCGUGGGUUGUCUGCAGCUGUUCACCUCUUUCGUUGUUUAUUAUUUUGCGUGCUUGUGAGUGUGUGUGGGAGGCAUUCGGCUUCCCACUCCUCCACCUCUCCGCAUUCUCUUAGACAGGCAUCAGUCAGCAUACCGCGAUUUUCUAGCGAGUCCAGUGGAAAACACAAGCGGGCACACACGCACGCGCACACUUCCCUGUUCCGAUUUCUUUUGUUCUUGUUGGUGCUGUACUUUGGCGGUCGGCCUUUUUUUUCUGUUGUUCUUCUCUGUGUGAAAGAGAGAAACUGCUGUUGAACGUCUUUGGCGUCGUGUGCGCCUCUGUUGGUGCCGUUAUUGUUUUUCCGGUCGUGGAUGUAUCGCGCCUGAAGAGUGCCUCACGUUGGCCUCUUCGUUUAGCUGUUUCCGCAUCUCUUUUGCUGUAUUUCGGUCUUGCGCACACCGCCUUUUCAGUUUCUGUCGUUCUCCACGUAUCGGGGACCGGCAUGUCCGCUCGUAUACACCCGGACCCAUGUGGCGGCAUAAGGGCGAUUGAGAACACGAAGGCGACGCUUACGAACGACCCGCAGGACUUUACCGAAAUUUCAUCCCUCUUUCAAACAUUUGGGCAGCAAGAUGUCAGCAGCGGCGAGGAUGACGAUAGCGAGGGGAUGGCGGGUACCCAUUGUGCCGGCUACGAUCGGCGGGGUGCCGCCACGACCCCGUCGGGCCAAGACGUGGAUGCGUAUUCCUCCUCCACCUACGCUCAGCGGGGUGACCACGUUGCUAGAGCCUCUUCCUCGUCGGUGAGUCGCGCGGGGCAGGGAUCGCUGAGUUCCAGGCGCUCUCGGCACCCCUUCAACCGCAGCUCGCAUAACCCGUACGUGCUCCUCGGCAGCAGCGACGUCAAUCGCCCAGAGCAGGAGGCAUCUGCCAUGGAGAACUCCUCGAGAGCCGUGCGACGGCGCCGCAGCAGCUACAGCUACAGUAACAACACGUCGCAGAAUGCGCUGAUGUUUGAGUUCAACUCCAACUCCACCUCCACCUCCACUCCGACCCCCGCCGACCUCGGCUCGAGCAACCUCGCUGACAG
rnacentral:misc_RNA from 1 species